rnacentral:antisense_RNA from 1 species
UUUAGCAUUGGCUUUGCGAGCCAUGAUGCCGUUCCCUACUGCAUGUAAUAAGUGCGUUUUACCUAAACCGGUGCCGCCAUA